rnacentral:sRNA from 1 species
UUUUAGCCCCGAUAGCAGUGGAAAUCCUUUUGUGCCGGUCCCGAGGCUUCGGGAGGCGCAAAAGAUUGCAGCGGAUAGCGGGAAAAAGC